UCCCUGGUGGUCUAGCGGCUAAGGAUCCUGCGCUCUCACCGCCGUGGCCUGGGCUUGAUUCCCGAGCAGGGAA
rnacentral:tRNA from 1 species